rnacentral:misc_RNA from 1 species
AAGUCGUAACAAGGUUUCCGUAGGUGAACCUGCGGAAGGAUCAUCAAUGAAAUCCAACAAUCUAAACUGGGUAAAUUUUUACCUUUGUUGGUUUUUACCAGAGAAAUCUAGUAAAAUAGUUUUACCUGAAAUUUUUCAGGGAAAGAAAACAUUUAGGACAAGAUUUGGAGGUAACUUGCCUAAAAUUGAAAAGAAAAAUACCUAACCAAAAAAACAACUUUCGGCAACGGAUCUCUCGGCUCUCC